CACGAGUGGAGUCUGUCCCGGGACCCUCUGAGCUCCAGAACGGCCCUGACACCGAGCCCACAUCUGCCCCAGAUCUCCCCGACUGGAGGCCAACUACCAAAUCUUUGCACAAAUUGUACACACUGCAAGAUCUGAUAGGAACAGGAAGCUACGGCCAGGUGUUCAAGGCAGUCCGAAAAUCAGACGGCCGAGAGGUUGCCAUCAAAAGAACGCAGAAAUGGAGCAACUACUGUUCUCUUCAGAUUGUGAGUUGGCAAAG